rnacentral:rRNA from 1 species
CACACAGGUGUUGCAUGGCUGUCGUCAGCUCGUGUCGUGAGAUGUUGGGUUAAGUCCCGCAACGAGCGUAACCCUCAUCCUUAGUUGCCAUCAGGUAAUGCUGAGCACUUUAGGAAACUGCUAGUGAUAAACUGGAGGAAGUGGGAUGAUGUCAAGUCAUCAUGGCCCUUAUGGAGUGGGCUACACACGUGCUACAAUGGUGGCUACAAUGGGCUGCAAAGUCGCGAGGCCAAGCUAAUCCCUUAAAAGCCAUCUCAGUUCGGAUUGUACUCUGCAACUCGAGUGCAUGAAGUUGGAAUCGCUAGUAAUCGUGGAUCAGCAUGCCACGGUGAAUACGUUCUCGGGUCUUGUACACACUGCCCGUCACGCCAUGGGAAUUGGUUUCACUCGAAGCUAAUGACCUAACCGCAAGGAGGGAGUUAUUUAAAGUGGGAUCAGUGACUGGGGUGAAGUCGUAACAAGGUAGGCGUACUACA